rnacentral:rRNA from 1 species
AUGGCGAUGGCGGCGUUGGUGGUGCUCUCUCUGCUGCUCCUGCCCACCGGGGAGGCGCAGGAGAGGCGCCCGGUGGAGGCGCACCCGCACGGGCUGCCGUUCGAGAGCCCGCUGGCGCUGUCGCCGGCGGCGUACGAGUUCUUCCACCCCAGUGAGCACGCCCAGCGCGUGGCCGGCGCCCCCGAGCUCGCGCCGCGCGGGCAGCCGAGGGGGGCGGUGGUCCGGGGCGCCGGCGCGUCCGCGGCGAGCGUGGCGAGGGCCGACCAGGAGGAAGGGGGCGUGGCGCCCGUGAACACGGCUCGACGAGGCGGAGCUGUCCGUGCGGGCGUGGUGGCCGGCGUGUUCGUCGGGGCAGCGGUGGUGGUGUUGGCGGCUCUCGGGCUAGCGUACGCGGUGGCGCGGCGCCGCGUGGGCGUCGCGCAAGGUGACGCUGAGGCGGCUAGCGCACCGAAGUCGAAUGCUUAA